CCUACGGGAGGCAGCAGUAGGGAAUCUUCCACAAUGGGCGAAAGCCUGAUGGAGCAACGCCGCGUGGGUGAAGAAGGUCUUCGGAUCGUAAAACUCUGUUGUUAGAGAAGAAAGUGCGUGCGAGUAACUGUUCACGUUUCGACGGUAUCUAACCAGAAAGCCACGGCUAACUACGUGCCAGCAGCCGCGGUAAUACGUAGGUGGCAAGCGUUAUCCGGAUUUAUUGGGCGUAAAGGGAACGUAGGAGGUAUAUUAAGUCUGAUGUGAAAGCCUUGGGCUUAACCGGAGGAGUGCAUUGGAAACUGUGAGACUUGAGUGCAGGAGAGGAGAGUGGAACUCCGUGUGUAGCGGUGAAAUGCGUAGAUAUAUGGAAGAACACCAGUGGCGAAGGCGGCUCUCUGGUCUGUAACUGACGCUGAGGUUCGAAAGCGUGGGUAGCAAACAGGAUUAGAUACCCUAGUAGUC
rnacentral:rRNA from 1 species